GAUGAACGCUGGCGGCGUGCCUAAUACAUGCAAGUCGAGCGAACAGACGAGGAGCUUGCUCCUCUGAUGUUAGCGGCGGACGGGUGAGUAACACGUGGAUAACCUACCUAUAAGACUGGGAUAACUUCGGGAAACCGGAGCUAAUACCGGAUAACAUGUUGAACCGCAUGGUUCAACAGUGAAAGACGGUCUUGCUGUCACUUAUAGAUGGAUCCGCGCCGCAUUAGCUAGUUGGUAAGGUAACGGCUUACCAAGGCAACGAUGCGUAGCCGACCUGAGAGGGUGAUAGGCCACACUGGAACUGAGACACGGUCCAGACUCCUACGGGAGGCAGCAGUAGGGAAUCUUCCGCAAAGGGCGAAAGCCUGACGGAGCAACGCCGCGUGAGUGAAGAAGGUCUUCGGAUCGUAAAACUCUGUUAUUAGGGAAGAACAAAUGUGUAAGUAACUAUGCACGUCUUGACGGUACCUAAUCAGAAAGCCACGGCUAACUACGUG
rnacentral:rRNA from 1 species